rnacentral:rRNA from 1 species
UACGUAGGGUGCAAGCGCUGUCCGGAAUUAUUGGGCGUAAAGAGCUCGUAGGCGGUCUGUCACGUCGGCUGUGAAAACCCGAGGCUCAACCUCGGGCCUGCAGUCGAUACGGGCAAACUAGAGUACUGCAGGGGAGACUGGAAUUCCUGGUGUAGCGGUGAAAUGCGCAGAUAUCAGGAGGAACACCGGUGGCGAAGGCGGGUCUCUGGGCAGUAACUGACGCUGAGGAGCGAAAGCGUGGGGAGCGAACAGG